rnacentral:rRNA from 6 species
GGUCCCACCUGACCCCAUGCCGAACUCAGAAGUGAAACGCCGUAGCGCCGAUGGUAGUGUGGGGUCUCCCCAUGUGAGAGUAGGGAACUGCCAGGCA